ensembl:lncRNA
UUUCUUUCCUUUCCUUCCUUCCUUCCUUCUUUCUUUAAGUACAUUUAGCAGUUGUUUAGCAGGGUAUGUGUAACCUACGGUGGCCCUGAAGUGCAAAUCACAACAACAAAUCAUAAAACACAACGACAAAUCAUAAAACACAACAGCAAAUCAUAAAACACAACAACAAAUCAUAAAACACAACGACAAAUCAUGAAACACAAUGACAAAUCAUAAAACACAACAACAAAUCAUGAAUCACAACAACAAAUACGAAAACACUUCAACAAAUCAUGAAACACAACGGCAAAUAGGAAAACUCAACGGCAAAUACAAAACACUUCAACAAAUCAUGAAACACAACGACAUUAACUUCUAACGGAAAAGGUAGGGCCUAUCUAGCAGAGGACGGAACCUCCUGAUUGGACAGACACACUGUCUGUCUUUUAACAGGAAAUGAGUACUCUCACGCUUGCUAGGCAGACCUCCCUUCGCAGAAGAAGCUUGCUAGACCUCAUCCUUUCAUUCGGCGCCAACAUUAAUAAAGGAUGUUUUGCCGUCAUUGUGGGAAAAAGUUGUUAGAGAACAAGCCACAUUUUUGCAGUGGUUGUGGCGAGAGACUCGGAGAAAGUCUUGAAACAACGUCUUUGGCUCAACCCACCGAUGGACCAACUUCAGUAUCCCAGAAUCCUCCUUCCAACCCAACCCCAAGAUUAAAAACCUUUCUGGAAUACCGGAAGAAAAAAGCAGAGGAAAGACAAAAUUUCUCCUUUGGUAAAAUGCGGGAAAAGAAAAAGGAAAAAAGGAAAGUGCAGGUAA